CCCAGCUCCGGCUUUUGCCAGAGGCCGGGAUCUCAGAGAAGAUGCAGCUGGAGCAAAUCUGCAACUCAGCUGAUUGUCAAAACUGGAAAUAACGUUAAACCAUCUUGAAUCUUGGCUGGUCUCACCACCAGCUGGUAUGGGGGCUCCAAUGCACAGGAAUGGAAGAAGCUACGGAGGACUGCAGACUCAGCCGUCACGGGCACAAUCAAUGCACAUCAAAGUCACCAAAGGGCAGUGUCUCAAGAAGGCAGCAUCCAUGACUGAGGACCCUCACAGUGCCCUCUCCUCCUUAUUACCAUUGGAGAUGCGGUAGAGGAGCCUGAAGACCCACAGCCAACCUUGUUGAAAUAACUUCUUCCCCUCUGUCAGCAGAUUUCUGAACAGUCCAUGAACUCACUAUUCCACUUCUUCAAUACUUAUUUUUUAUUAUUAUCAGUACUGUGCAAAGACAUAAAGUGACAAAUUACGAAAUAAAUCGCGAAAACAAGGGAUAAUGAGGCGGUAUUCACGGACCUUUUGGAAAUCUGACGACGGAAGGACGGCUUGGUAGCACAGUGCUCUACUGCAUCAGUGACCCAGGUUCA